UGCUCCUUCCCCAGUCCCCAGGAAAGUGUGUGAAGGGCAGCCCCUCUUGCCUCCCUUAGAGCUCCCUGGGGAGGUCCCUCAGGCAAAAACGAAGACAACCUUGGUCACCUAUGGCAAGACCACUGCCCGGUCAGAGCUGUGAUCCUCCAGACAGGGACAGUGAGUGUUUUCACUGGCAAGCAUGGUAAUGAGCUCUUGCUGCACACACAGCAUUCCCUUUGGCAUGAAGGUAGUGGAAAGAUGACCAGGAAAUGGCAUCUGCCUUCAAAGCACUUACUGUCCAGUCUAGUGGGUCAUGGAAACAAGUGUUGCCUUAGGGUGGGUUGUGAUAAGAGCUAUCACAGUGGGGGCACAGGAUUAAUUCCCAUAAAAGGAUGUGGAAAUCACUGAGGAGGAGGGAACACUUGAUCUGGGGUUGGCAAUAAAUACACACUUGGUGGGUGAAAAAUGGGGAAUUUGGAAAUAAGGAGGAGGACCAGCAGGAUCAAAGGCACGGAGGGGCCUAUAGUAUUUUCCAAAGAUGAUGGCACCAAUAUAUCCCAUCCCAUGUGCUCCUCUUAUGUUAUGAAGUUGACGCUCGUCCCUCAACAGGUGGGGGUCUACAUUUCCUCCCCUUGAAUCUGGGCAGGCCUGUGAUCAGAGUAGAAGUGAUGCCAUGUGACUUCCAAGACUGUCAGGACAGGCAAUACUGCCUCCCCUAGGAUUGCUCAACCUUGAAUCCCCAUGCUCUGAGGAAGCCAAGUGGUCACACAGGCCACGCGUAGAUAUUCCAGCGACAGUGCCAACUGAAGUCCCAGCCAACUGUGGCAUCAACUGCAGCAUGGAGAGACAAGACUCAGAAGAUUCCAGGCUCCAGCCUUUGGGCUGCACCAGCUGACGCCUACCUCCACCCCGUCAAGUCAGCCUUAUGGAACAUGCAUCUGGGCUUGCAUUUCGGUCGUUGUAUCCUGCCUGCUGACUUCAGAUGCCGAAUGUAUUUAUUUAUCAUGAGGCUGACCUAGGAUGAAUGCUCCUGGAAAAGUGUCCACUAUUCAAAAUGUCACUUCCCCUCAACAGGCCGUGCAUUAUACUGACAGGCAUACUUGCAGAGGCCCCUGAAUGACGAGGAUGGAUGGAGGGCUCCCAUAGCAGCGCUGCCUGGGCCAAGUGGGUGAGUGAGUGAGCGAGUGGGUGCCCGAAGUAUCUCCAGCCUCGAUGAGGAGCCCAGACGCAGCGGGAGCCAGGACUGUGACAGGAGAUGCAACGUGGAGACUUGCAGGGCCCCACUUCUCAGUGGCUGGUGGAUAAGCAACCCGCCUUAUCCCAGCCAGCCUUCCAAGGGCACAUUUUGAGGGGCUUCCUGUCCGCCUGUAGGGCCAGUAGGGGGUGGCAGGCAGGAAAGAGGGUGUUACCCUCCUCCUCCUCCUGAGUGAAGGUGGGGGGCUCCUGGGACCACCACUUUGGGCCACGCAGACUUGCAUUGCUCAAUUCCAUUCCACUAUGAGGCCAUCACCCUGGAUGAGAAAUCCAAAAAAACAGAUGGAUUUGGGAAGAACAUAUACUCGAAUCAAGCUAUUAAACUCAAUUAAAGCACUACUUUUGAUGCACUGAAAGGACCCCGCCUCGACUUAAGUGGACUGAGGUGUGAGGUUAUGCCAGUGUUUCCCAAACAGCAGUCUGUGAAAUCCUUGUUCUCCUUGAAAAAUGAGCUCCAUGAUCAGGU